CUGGGAUCAUGACCUGAGGUGAAGGCAGAGGCUUUAACCCACUGAGAAGCCCAGGCACCCCUGCUUUCUUUCUUAUAAGCUAACUUACUUUGCCUUUCUUUAGCCUUAUAUACAUUAAUAGAAUAUAUAUAUAUACACACAUACAUACAUACAUACAUACACAGAAAAAUGUCUGACACAGUGACUUUUCAACCAGGAAUUAAUUGACAUCAUACUUGGUUUUUUUAAACAGUGAAAACAAAUGCAUAAUCAUGGGAAAAAUAAUUAAUUGAAUCUCUAUUGCCUGAAUAUCUGCUCUGAGUAUUUUGUUAUAACUUUAAAUGGCAUAGUUAAAUGAGAUUACAUAUUCAUUUAGUUAGUACAAUAAAGAAAUUAUGAGUCAAACCAUAUAGGUCGAAACUCUAGCUUUACUUAAUUAGCUGCGUAAUUGUGGUCAAUUUAUGGAAGUUCUCUAAGCAUUUAUUUUCUCAUCAGUAAAUCCUAAGUCAGUGAUUGAUUCCCAGAAUGUAUUCAACAAGUGGUAGGUACUGUAAAUGCUGUAAUUUUUUUAUUAUUACUAUUAGCCAGUGGUGAACAAAUAUUUUCUGUGCGCCCUUCUGUGUGCCUUCUAUAUGGCCUGCAAUAAGGUAGGGGUUGGAGAUCAAGAGAUGAGUAAAAUGUGACUGCUGGCAUCAAGGAAUUCAUAGUCAAGGGGAGAAGAAAUCAUGAAUAACUAUGUGCAAGUGAAGGGCCAUGACUGAAGCAACUUCAAAUGCAUGUACUAUACAUGUACUGCCUAUGGAAGGCUUCCUGCUGAGCUUUGAAGAACAUAGAGUUAUGCCUAUAGUUAGGGGACAGUCACUUGAGCCCAGGGGAUCAGCAGAAGUAAGGCGUGGAAACAUGGAAUGCCUGUCAGAUCAGGAGACUGCAGACAAUAAAGGACAAAGAGUCAAAAGUGUAUGGACCAACCAAAUAGGAGGCUGCAGGAGAAGAUUAGGGCAGUAGUAUGAAGAUUAUUAGAAGCCAGUGUUCAUGGUGGACUUUAUUCUAUAGGACAAGCGAAAAUCAUCAAUCAUGUCUGUGCAGAGAAGCAAGUAUGUAUCUUAGAAUGACAAUGUUGGGAGCAGUAAAGAGAACAGACUGGAAAAGGGACACCUGGAUCGCCCAGUUCUUUAAACAUCCGAUUCUUGAUUUUGGCUCCGGUCUUGAUCUCAGGAUUGUGAGAUCAGGCCCCAUAUCCACCCCAUGCAGAACCUGCUCAAAAUUAUCUUCCUCUUCCUCUCCCUCUACCCUUUCCCUCACCCCCCACCAAAAAAAAAAAAAAAAGAAAAAGAAAGAAAGAAAGAAAGAAAUGAAAUGAAAUGGAAACAUGGAAAAACAGAGAACAGAGACAGCACCUUACUAAUAGGAGGCUGUCAUUCGUCAAGUACAUGCUAAAUAUAAUGCAGCUCUGAACUCAGGUUGUUGCUGUGGCCAGUGAAGAUGAGGGGAUGGAGCCACAGCUCUUUCCAGAGACCAACUGGAGAAGAAUUGGCAGUUGAUUAACUUGAGGAGUGAUGAGAAAAGACAGGAAAGCUUUAAUCAUAUAUACAGAUGUUCAUCACAGCACAUGUAUAUAUCCAUCAAAAAUGGAAAACAAUCCCAGAUGCUAAAUAAUAUAGGAAUUCUAUUUAGGUAUAAAAAAAUCCUAUAAUAGAAAGGGUUUUAAGUGAUUUAUUAGAAAAGUUUAGUCAUGUAAAAAUACUUCUACUUUAAAGAAUACAUGAUAAAGUGCUAAAUGGGCAUUAAGCACACAUUUAACACAUUUUAAUCACAUAUUAAGACAUUUCUUAGCUGUUGACUAGUAAGAAGCAAAGGCAGAUAGCUUUACACAGAAGCUAGUGACAAACAUGCAAGUAUUUCUCAGGUCUUAGUUGACUGUUUGCCUCUCCCCACCUGGAAAAGGUACCAAUGAGAGGCUGCGUAAUGAUAUUUCAGUAUUAGGGAGCCACAGUGAAGAAUUAACUGUAUUUUCAAAUAACAAUAUCCCUGAAUAGGACAGUACUGUGUCUGUUGAUAUUGAGCUUGUGACACCUGUGGCAAGACUGUUCCAUUAUCUUGCCAGUGAUCAGCAAAACUACCACCAAAGAUAGGAUCUGAAUGUCACCCAAGUUCCCUGUAGCCAUUAUCCCUUCCUCACUGCCCUAAGUUUGAAAAGGACAGUAUUUCCCAAAGCCACCUGAUCACAUCACCAGUGGAUGGUGGAAAACAAACAUCAAAGCACGAAUUUCCAGACAGUGCACAACAGUCUUUGGGAUACGGUUCACGACCUUUAUUAUUAAUGAGUGCUCCCAGGUAGACCAUUGGACCAGCCAAAUUUGGGGUCAUAAUGGAAUACUGAUUGAUGCAGGUAAGAGUGCCCAUGUACAACGUUGCCAUGGGGUUGCUCAAAAUUUGCUGUAAAAUCACUGUCUUUCUGGAAAGAGAGUUAGUAACACCCACACCCCCAUGUAACAAUGCAGUCUAGGAUAAAUAAGAUACUAUGUGUGAAGUGCUGUGUGAUUAGGAAGGAAAGACAAGGUGAUAUUAUUAUCAGUGCAAACCACGUCAUCAUGGUCGUCAUCACUGAGCUAUCAUCGCUGUUAUCUCUCGAAAUGUAUACAAGAUUUUAAUAGUUCAGCUUGCUCUUCUAGAAGAAAAUGAAGGAUCAAGUCCAUGUUUGUAUAUGCGGGUGGGAGCAGGUUUGGGAAAUGUUAUGUUUAGUAACUGUAUCCUUUUUGUCUUCUUAGACACAGUACCAAGUUUCCUUUAAAAAAAAAAAA